CGCUCACCGACCUGUCCCCCAGCCUCCGAUCUGCCCGUUUUGACAGCAGCGACCCUACGCAUCAGCCUUUCCUUGCGGUGACUCAUGAGUUUCUUGGUCAGGCUCCUCCAUCCGUGGCAGAGCAGGCGCGGAGCGGGAGCGGGGAUUGUCGCUGUCGGUCACUCUCGGAUCCCUGUCUAGCACAUCCCCCACAUGGGCUCUCGGUCGCUGGCGUCACUGGGUUGUGCAGCUCGGACUGUGUUGCUUAGCAACGAAAUAACAAACAAGCCUUACUGGAAUACUUCAGUAAUAGCCAAAAAAUCGCCAGCCCUGAGCUUCCAGUUCAAGGCAUCAUUACUCCUCUUGUGAUGCACUAUGCACAACUUCUAUGGAUAUUUAAAAUGCUCUCCAGUUGAAUUCUGUAGAUCACACACACAGGUACCCAUGUAUGAGGUUGUCCCACUGGCCGAGGCCUGGAGAGAAGCUGCGGGAGAUUACAGGGCAGCUGGCUGAGGCUGGGCUUGGUUGAGCUGGUUGAGGACGAUCCUGGGGCUCGGGUGCAGGUGACGACAGCCACCAGGGAGGAGCUCUUCUCAUGGUGAUGGCAGAAGUACAGGAGGGCAAGCCCCGAAAGGCAAGCACACUUGCGUCAUGUGCGCGAAAUCCUAUCGGCCAAAGCAUCACCGCCGCCUUCCGCGGGUGGAGUGGGGAAGGGUCCUCCUCUUACAGAGGUUAGGUGGGUGGGAGAAGGUUGUUGAGCAAUAAUCUAUCACCUGGCACAAGGUUUUUAGUAAUGGAACUAAAGGAUCAAACAUAAUCCCACUCCUAGUGGGACUCCUACCAUCAGGAAACUCCUGACCUACCGGAUCGUGAACUUCUCAGAAUAAUGUAUCAAGACUCUUUCCAGAAAUGUUUGGAUUAAACCCCAUUAAGCCUUUAAACUUAACUUCCAGUACAUAGGAGACAUAAGGAGGGCUAGAGGGAGAAGCUGAAUGGAUACUGAAUCAGUUAUUUCCUGCUCAGUAACAAAGUACCCCCAAGCUGAGCUGCUUACACAGCAAUGAACAGUAGCUCACAGGAUCGUGCAAGAGAGAGCAAGGAGAAAGCCAGGUGUGACCCAGUCUCAGAGGCAUGAGCUGUCACUUUUGCUCAUUCUUUUUGUUAGAAAUGAGUCAGAGGACAGCUGACACUCCAGAGGAAUUUCUACCAUUGAAUCAAGAGAAAGCAUUUGUGGACAUAUUUAAAAAUCACUACUGAAAUUAUUUGAGAUAAAGAGAUAAAGAGACCAAAAGCAGUGUUUCACAUUCCUGACUGGCUCCUGGGUUUUUUUUUGUUUUUUUGUUUUUUUUUUUUUUUUUUUUUUUUUUUAAGUCAUAUGAGUAAUUCUGGGGACAAAUGGGGAAACUGGGAUGUGAAACAAGUGUUACACAGAUUGGGGAAUGGUUGAUAAUUUUCAUAGGUGUGACAAGGGCAUUGUGGCGACAUGGAGGGAGGUGCUUAUUCUUAGAAGAUGCAGAUGGAGGUAUUGGGCAGUGAAAUGGCUUGAUGUCUGCAACUUGUUUUCAAACAGGUAAAACAAACAAACAAAAAAGAGAUAAAGCACAUGAGCCAGGGGUGCCUGGGUGGCUCAGUGGGUUAAAGCCUCUGCGUUUGACUCAGGUCACGAUCUCAGGGUCCUGGGAUUGAGCCCCCCCCCCCCCCCGCCCCGCAUCGGGCUCUCUGCUCAGCGGGGAGCCUGCUUCCUCCUCUCUCUCUCUCUGCCUGCCUCUCUGCCUACUUGUGAUCUCUGUCUGCCAAAUAAAUAAAUAAAAUCUUUUAAAAAAAA